rnacentral:rRNA from 1 species
GAUGAACGCUGGCGGCGUGCUUAACACAUGCAAGUCGAACGGAAAGGCCCAAGCUUGCUUGGGUACUCGAGUGGCGAACGGGUGAGUAACACGUGGGUGAUCUGCCCUGCACUUCGGGAUAAGCCUGGGAAACUGGGUCUAAUACCGGAUAGGACCACUUCUUGGAUGUUGUGGGGGAAAGUUUUUUCGGUGUGGGAUGAGCUCGCGGCCUAUCAGCUUGUUGGUGGGGUAAUGGCCUACCAAGGCGUCGACGGGUAGCCGGCCUGAGAGGGUGUACGGCCACAUUGGGACUGAGAGACGGCCCAGACUCCUACGGGAGGCAGCAGGGGGGAAUAUUGCACAAUGGGCGCCAGCCUGAUGCAGGGACGCCGCGGGGGGGAAGACGGCCUUCGGGUUGUAAAAACCGUACGCUAGGGACGAAGCGUUUUGUGACGGUACCUGGAGAAGAAGCACCGGCUAACUACGUG